rnacentral:rRNA from 1 species
CAAUUAUUUAUAGCCUCUGGCUAUAGGAAAUUGUUAGUGGCAGACGGGUGAGUAAUGCGUAGGAAUCUACCUAGUAGUACGGAAUAGCCAUUAGAAAUGGUGGGUAAUACUGUAUAAUCCCCGAGGGGGAAAGAUUUAUCGCUAUUAGAUGAGCCUACGUUAGAUUAGCUAGUUGGUGAGGUAAUGGCUUACCAAGGCUAUGAUCUAUAGCUGGUCUGAGAGGACGAUCAGCCACACUGGAACUGAGAUACGGUCCAGACUCCUACGGGGGGCAGCAGUGGGGAAUAUUGGACAAUGGGCGAAAGCCUGAUCCAGCUAUGCCGCGUGAGUGAAGAAGGCCUUCGGGUUGUAAAACUCUUUCAAUAGGGAAGAUAAUGACGGUACCUAUA